rnacentral:tRNA from 1 species
UGACCAGUAACUCAAUGGUGAGAGCGACUGCCUUAUACGCAGCAGGCUACCGGUUCAAAUCCGGUCUGGUCAA